GGGUCAGUAGGUUGGUCGUGCCACCGGUACGUACUGGUCUCACUGAUUCCUCCUUCCUGAAGAACCGUAAUGCCAUUAAUUUGAUGUUGCGGGGAAACAGGACUGUUACUUUGAAAAAACUAGAGUGUUUAAAGCAAGCUAACGCUUGAAUACAUUAGCAUGGAAUAAUGAAAUAGGACGAUCGAUCCUAUUUUGUUGGUUUCUAGGAUUGACGUA
rnacentral:rRNA from 1 species